rnacentral:rRNA from 1 species
UACGAAGGGGGCGAGCGUUGUUCGGAUUUACUGGGCGUAAAGGGCGCGCAGGCGGUUCUGUUUGUCGAGUGUGAAAGCCCCGGGCUCAACCUGGGAACUGCGCGCGAAACGGGAGGGCUUGAGUUCGGGAGAGGAGCGUGGAAUUCCCAGUGUAGAGGUGAAAUUCGUAGAUAUUGGGAAGAACACCGGUGGCGAAGGCGGCGCUCUGGACCGAGACUGACGCUGAGGCGCGAAAGCGUGGGGAGCAAACAGG